CGCCCUUAGAGUUUGAUCCUGGCUCAGGACGAACGCUUGCGGCAUGCCUAAGCUAUGCAAGUCGAGCGGGGUGUUUUCGCUGAGUCUUCGGACAAGGCGGUUACACCUAGCGGCGAACGGGUGAGUAACACGUGAGCAACCUGCCCCGCUGUCUGGGAUAACAGACCGAAAGGUCUGCUAAUACCGGAUAGGAAGCCCCAUCGCAUGGUGGGACUUGGAAAUGGAGCAAUCCGCGGCGGGAGGGGCUCGCGCCCUAUCAGCUAGUUGGUGAGGUAACGGCCCACCAAGGCGACGACGGGUAGCCGACCUGAGAGGGUGACCGGCCACACUGGGACUGAGACACGGCCCAGACUCCUACGGGAGGCAGCAAGCGGGAAUAUUGCACAACGGGGGAAACCCUGGUGCAGCGAUGCCGCGUGAGGGAUGAAGGCCUUCGGGUCGUAAACCUCUUUUGGCAGGGACGAACACAAUGACGGUACCUGCAGAAGAAGCUCCGGCUAACUCCGUGCCAGCAGCCGCGGUAAUACGGAGGGAGCGAGCGUUGUCCGGAUUUACUGGGCGUAAAGAGCGCGUAGGUGGUUCGUUAAGUCGGCUGUGAAAUCACUGGGCUUAACCCAGUUAGGUCAGUCGAUACUGAUAGACUUGAGUCCGGGAGAGGGAAGCGGAAUAGCUGGUGUAGCGGUGGAAUGCGUAGAUAUCAGCUAGAACACCGGUGGCGAAGGCGGCUUCCUGGACCGGCACUGACACUGAGGCGCGAAAGCUAGGGGAGCGAACAGGCUUAGAUACUCUGGUAGUCCUAGCCGUAAACGAUGGUUACUAGGUGUUGGGGGUAUCGACCUCUCCAGUGCCGUAGCUAACGCAUUAAGUAACUCGCUGGGGAGUACGGCGCAAGGCUGAAACUCAA
rnacentral:rRNA from 1 species